CCUACGGGAGGCAGCAGUGAGGAAUAUUGGUCAAUGGCCGGAAGGCUGAACCAGCCAUGCCGCGUGAAGGUCAGUGCCCUAUGGGCGUUAAACUUCUUUUGUGCGGGAGCAAUAAUGGUCACGUGUGGCCAGACGAGAGUACCGUACGAAUAAGCAUCGGCUAACUCCGUGCCAGCAGCCGCGGUAAUACGGGGGAUGCAAGCGUUAUCCGGAUUUAUUGGGUUUAAAGGGGGCGUAGGCUGUGAGGUAAGUCAGCGGGGAAAUGCCCCCGGUCAACGGGGUGAAGUGCCAUUGAUUCUGCCUUGCUGGAAUGCGGAUGCCGUGGGAGGAAUGUGUGGUGUAGCGGUGAAAUGCAUAGAUAUCACACAGAACACCGAUUGCGAAGGCAUCUCACGAAUCCGCGAUUGACGCUGAUGCACGAAAGCGUGGGUAUCAAACAGGAUUAGAUACCCGGGUAGUC
rnacentral:rRNA from 1 species